rnacentral:rRNA from 1 species
UGGGGGAUAUUGCACAAUGGGCGAAAGCCUGAUGCAGCGACGCCGCGUGGGGGAUGAAGGCUUUCGGGUUGUAAACCUCUUUCGCUAUCGAACAAGGCCCGCUUAGGGUGGGUUGAGGGUAGGUGGAGAAGAAGCGCCGGCUAACUACGUUCCAGCAGCCGCGGUAAUACGUAGGGCGCGAGCGUUGUCCGGAAUUAUUGGGCGUAAAGGGCUUGUAGGCGGCUUGUUGCGCCUGCUGUGAAAACGCGGGGCUUAACUUCGGGCGUGCAGUGGGUACGGGCAGGCUUGAGUGUGGUAGGGGUGACUGGAAUUCCAGGUGUAGCGGUGGAAUGCGCAGAUAUCUGGAGGAACACCGAUGGCGAAGGCAGGUCACUGGGCCAUUACUGACGCUGAGGAGCGAAAGCAUGGGUAGCGAACAGG